AUUGUGGGAUUGGAUGAGUCUCAAGAUGGACAACCGGGAUGUUGCAGGAAAGGCUAACCGGUGGUUUGGGGUUGCUCCCCCUAAAUCUGGAAAAAUGAACAUGAACAUCCUUCACCAGGAAGAGCUCAUCGCUCAGAAGAAACGGGAAAUUGAAGCCAAAAUGGAACAGAAAGCCAAGCAGAAUCAGGUGGCCAGCCCUCAGCCACCACAUCCUGGCGAAAUCACAAACGCACACAACUCUUCCUGCGUUUCCAACAAGUUUGCCAACGAUGGUAGCUUCUUGCAGCAGUUUCUGAAGUUGCAGAAGGCACAGACCAGCACAGACGCCCCAACCAGUGCGCCCAGCGCCCCUCCCAGCACACCCACCCCCAGCACUGGGAAGAGGUCCCUGCUCAUCAGCAGGCGGACAGGCCUGGGGCUGGCCAGCCUGCCGGGCCCUGUGAAGAGCUACUCCCACGCCAAGCAGCUGCCCGUGGCGCACCGCCCGAGUGUCUUCCAGUCCCCUGACGAGGACGAGGAGGAGGACUAUGAGCAGUGGCUGGAGAUCAAAGAUUUUUGCACGAUAAGAAUAGCAGGGAAUUCCUCUACUACAGGAAGAAGGUGGCUGAGAUAAGAAAGGAAGCACAGAAGUCGCAGGCAGCCUCUCAGAAAGCUUUCUGUACGAGCCCAAUAGCCAAGGGUACAAGUACUACCGACAGAAGCUGGAGGAGUUCCGGAAAGCCAAGGCCAGCUCCACAGGCAGCCUCACAGCACCCGACCCCAGCCUGAAGCGCAAGUCCCCUCCUGAGGCCCUGUCAGGGUCCUUACCCCCAGCCACCACCUGCCC
rnacentral:sRNA from 1 species